UCCCUUUUAUAAUACAAAGAAGGGAAAAAUAAAAGGAAAGAAAAAUUGCCUACCAAAUCUAAAGAUUACAAUAAUCAAUCACUCCAUUAAUAACUACUCUAACUAUGGAAAUAAAUAAUUCAUAAACCUAUUUCUAAAAUUAUUGUGAUUUCAUCACUCCCCCUCAAGUUGGAUCAUAAAUGUUUAUCAUAUCCAACUUGAAAAUGAAAUCAUCAAAUUUCUGUCUUGAUAGUCCCUUGGUGAAGAU
rnacentral:lncRNA from 1 species